rnacentral:rRNA from 1 species
AUGGAACAAUGUAGGCAAGGGAAGUCGGCAAAACGGAUCCGUAACUUCGGGAAAAGUAUUGGCUCUGAGGACUGGGCUCGGGGGUCCCGGCCCCGAACCCGUCGGCUGUCGGCGGAUUGCUCGAGCUGCUCACGCGGCGAGAGCGGGUCGCCGCGUGCCGGCCGGGGGACGGACCGGGAAUCGCCCCUUCGGGGGCUUUCCCCGAGCAUGAAACUGUCGACUCAGAACUGGUACGGACAAGGGGAAUCCGACUGUUUAAUUAAGACAAAGCAUUGCGAUGGUCCUCGCGGAUGCUGA